GAACGCACAUCAUAGUACGCCGCGUACGGAUUGGAAUGGAACGCGUCGCGGACCUCGACGAAGGAAGUGUUGGGGAAAUAAAGAAAGAUAGAUAUAGCUGAGUGACAGAAAUUAUCAGUGUAAAAAGGGAAGAAUAAUUGUGUUAUGGAAGAGAAACGCGAAAAGGGAUCACCCGAAUGGAUAACGGACGAAUGGGUGUCCUAUUGCUUAAAAAGGAUGGAUCGUGUCGGGGACACAUGUGAAUUUAGUGUAUUAUCAUAGUACGAAGGACUUUCAUUUGUCCUUCUAUUGGAAAACUCGACUCUGGUGCUUGCGAUACUGCGAGACACGAGAGCGUGAAAGAAGAAGAAGAAGAGGAAGAAGAGGAAGAAGACAA